CCCUUAGACACUCUAGGCGGCACGCGCGCUACAAUGGGUGGAAGAACGUGUUACUGCCUCCGAAAGGAGGGGUGAAUCACGAAUUCUUGCCCGUGAAUGGGAUAGUUUGUUGCAAUUUUCGGACUUGAACUAGGAAUCCCUUGUAAACAUGCUCAAGAAUAGCGUGUUGAAUACGUCCCUGCCGUUUGUACACACCGCCCGUCGUUUCUUCCGACUGAUACUCAUUGUGAGUUGCAAGGACCCUUUAUUGGGAAAGUGCUGCAAAUGCUUUGUAUUGGAGGAAGAAAAAGUCGUAACA
rnacentral:rRNA from 1 species